AACUAUUGAUCAGUAGAACAGAAAUAAGCUAAGCAUCUUUAAGGGUCAGCUGAUUCUUUAAAGUAGCUUCAGACCGCGUGGUAGAACCCGUAAGGCGCGUGCGCUUGGGCGGCGCGGCGUGAGCGGCAGAGGACGGUGACGGAGCCACGCCGGGGUCAGGGCUCCACGUCCCACCCGGCUGGUGUCGCAUUAACGUGAAGCAGAUUUUGUAAAAUUAAGGACGCACAGAGUGCGUGUUCUUCUCUGUUAGCUCACUAUCGAGGUGCCGGAGCCAAGAUGCGCAGCCCGGCUCCCGCCCUGGGGGGCCCCGUGCGCCCAGCGCCCCCGCUUCUCAGUCCACCAGUCGUCCGAAGGCACUGUCCUCGCUUCCUUGGAAGGCUUGCUAGUUAAGGGACUAGAAGCUAUUUCUGGUAACUGGCUUCACUCUAUCAAGUUUAUACAGAUGUAAUCUUUUCGAUCACAAACUGAAAUGCAACUUUUGAGUAAGAGACGUAUGUGACCUCCAGUUCAGGACCUAAUAUAAAAAUUCUGAAGCAAGACACUCAACAGGAAAAUAAUGCCUUCACAGAGACGAUUUUCAAGGCCAUAAGAAGUUAAUGGCUAAGAUUGGACUUUAAUCCAAAGCAAAAGGAAUGUACUGUUGCUAGCGACAUGUUUGUAACAUUUAGCUCAUUUCUUGUAACAUGUGUGAUACUUUCCGGACCGGCACGUGCGUUUAUAUGCUCCGCCUAAAAGUGGCGUGUGCUUUUUCUCCACCAGAGUUAAAAACAAAAUUUGUUAUGUGUGUACAGCUGCUGUCCUGCCUUUGGGAGCUGCUUUUUCCCCACAGCCAGGAGGUGUGCUGGACCCACAGAGCUCCUUCGGAGCAAGAGAAACGAACCAGAGCUGGUAGGGAUCUGGUGGCUUCUAACGGCGGGUAGCACUCUGCAAGCCCACGGAUGGGGCCUGAUCCCAGAAGCCCAGGUGCAAGGGACCCCGUGACAGUGGCCACGACACGGAGACCACCGAUGGAUGAGCGGAUAGAGAAGCAUGGUGCGCGUGUCCAGUGGAGUACUUUCAGCCGUAAGAAAUGUGGAAAUCCUCCACUUGUGGAAACAUGGAUAAGUCUCGAAGGCACUGUGCUAAUGAGCCUGACCCUCGGCCCUCGUCCAGCCACGGCUUCUGCGCGAAUUAGGUUUCACUGGUGAUCUCAGCGGGAGCUGUGGAAGGUGGGUAGGAAGGACCGAGGAGGAGACGCUGGACCCAUAUUGGACGGAAACGGGGCAAAGAUUUGAGCUACAACAUUCCCAAGAUGUUACUCGGGUUCAGCUUACAGUCUGAACGCGGGCCUCGCGCCCUCACCGGCUGGCCCAGAGAGGACCCGCCGGGGGCAGUGGUGAGCUGACUCCCGGCCCAGCACCCCCUGAACCCCCUGGCGCCCGUGUCAGAAAUCCGGUUCGGGGACUCACCUGAGCUCCAGCUUGGGAAACGGUGUCUUGCAGACCUGAUCCAAGGGUUUCCUACACAGGGCGAUCCUUAAACUUUACAGAAAUAAACGGCCACAAAACGAAA